GGAAUAGUUUUAUUCAUCAAAGUAUGCACCCAUAUUGUCAAUACACUUUUGCCAUUUCAUUGGUAGCUUGACCAGCCCGGGACUGUAAAAGUCUGGCAAUCUAGAGUCAAUGAAAUCUUAGAAGGCCUGUUUUGCAGCAUUGUCAGAAUA